rnacentral:rRNA from 1 species
GACGAACGCUGGCGGCGGGCCUAACACAUGCAAGUCGAACGAACUCGACCUUCGGGUCAUAUAGUGAGUGGCGAACGGGUGAGUAACACGUGAGAAACCUGCCCCGAAGACUGGAACAACCCGAGGAAACUCGGGCUAAUACCGGAUAUCCCCAUCGGAUCGCAUGGUCUGAUGAGGAAAUGCUCCGGCGCUUCGGGAGGGUCUCGCGGCCUAUCAGCUAGUUGGUGAGGUAACGGCUCACCAAGGCAACGACGGGUAGCUGGUCUGAGAGGACGAUCAGCCACACUGGGACUGAGACACGGCCCAGACUCCUACGGGAGGCAGCAGUGGGGAAUAUUGCGCAAUGGGCGAAAGCCUGACGCAGCCACGCCGCGUGCGGGAUGAAGGCUCUAGGGUUGUAAACCGCUUUAGGCAGGGAAGAAAAUGACGGUAC